UGGGGAAUUUUGCACAAUGGGGGAAACCCUGAUGCAGCGACGCCGCGUGAUUUAGAAGGCCUUCGGGUUGUAAAAAUCUUUUUUACGGGAUGAAAAUGACAGUACCGUAAGAAUAAGGUCCGGCUAAAUACGUGCCAGCAGCCGCGGUAAUACGUAUGGACCGAGCGUUGUCCGGAAUCAUUGGGCGUAAAGGGUACGUAGGCGGCCUAGUAAGUUAGAAGUGAAAUAAUAUAGCUCAACUAUAUAAAGCUUUUAAAACUGCUAGGCUUGAGAGAUGGAAGGGAAAGUGGGAUUCCUAGUGUAGCGGUGAAAUGCGCAGGUAUUAGGAAGAAUACCGGUGGCGAAGGCGACUUUCUGGUCAUCAUCUGACGCUGAAGUACGAAAGCGUGGGUAGCAAACAGG
rnacentral:rRNA from 1 species